GGAAGCUUGUCGCGUGAUUGUGAGACAAAUCUGCCUACACGAUGCCGCUAGACAUGCCUUGGUUGCUGGUAAUUUAACGGGAAAUUUGGAUUUAUAUGAUUUUUGCUACUACUUAGGACUUUAUAUUAGACUAGGGUUGCCAGUUCAUAUUUAGGAGUUUAUAUUAGACAAGGGUUGCCACAGUAGACUUAUCGCAUUAAAAUGUAUUCAAAAAAUAGUAUGACUUCGGAAAUAUACACAUACCAAUUUAAUAUUUUCUUAUUGUGUGAGCGAAUCUGCAAGCAUAUGCAACAUUUCAACAUAUUGUUUGGAUAUUCGUGGGUAUGAUACCUAUAUUUAAAAAUAAUUUCGUUUGGAAGGUAUAGAAGUUUAUGGGAGAUGCGAGUGUAAAAUACAUUUUAACUUUUAAAAAACCUUUCAACGUGAUUUAUAAUUGUUUUUAUAGAUUAUAAGUAGCAAUUUAAGUCGAACACUAAGUUAAGGAGAUAACUUGCUAUCAUAAAUAAAAAGUAAGUGCACGUACUGCGUGAGUACAUUGUGGAGUCAUUCGAUAAUACCGGUAAGCAAAACUGUUCGGAAUAAUAUGAAGGUCACAAAAUAACGUCAUUCCUUGUUAACAACAUUCAAUCCUGAGUUUCAAACAAAUAUAGCAAGUACAAACAUUCACAGCACCUCCACAGUAUAAUCUGAAUUGAAACAAAAUUUUCAUUGUUUAAGCGAGAGCCCUGGCUGUGCAUCAUGGAAUUCUUUUUAGACGUUUUUGAUGCUUUAUGCCGACAAGUAUUUGCCUAACAUAACGAAUUAACAUAUUAAUCGCAUAUGUGGAGGUCAUAUAGUGGACAUUUUUAAAGUCUAGAUUUGGAACCAGUCGUUAUAUAUUACAAAAUAUAUAACCAAGGACUUUGUGUAGAUCUUAAUUUUUACCUGAAACAUCGAUGAAGCGGCAUUGAAGAUUUCAUAAUAUACUAGUUAUAACCGGUGAUUUUACGAGUAUUCAAAGAAACUUUCUUGGCUUUAUCUGAGAUAGAUAGCUUUUUAAGCUUAUAAUUAUACGCCUAGUAUAUCUAAUUUAAUAAAUUGUAAGAUUAAGAAUUUUCGGUUUUUGUUUCAACUGCACGUUUUUUAGCUUUACUUCUAUGCCUUGAGUUGAUGGAAUAUACUGAAUACCCAAAAAUCGAACCCAAGACACAAUAUUGCUUACUAAACAACGGAGGCAGAUGAGUUCGUAUAUUGACUAGAAAGCUUAAGUCAUUUACAAUACCUUUUUUUAUAAAUGGGCAAACGGGCAGGAGGCGCGCCUGUUAAGUGAUACUUGGAUACUCAAUGCCAGAGGGUUUUGUCUACGUUGCCGGCUGAAUGAAUUGAUAUAACAGGCAGCUAAGGCGUCAGUGAACUCACCUAGGAAAAGAAUAUCCAUCUCGAUAUAAUCGAGUUUACCCUCGUAGUAUUCACGAUGCGUUUUAACUGUUGAUCUAUUCACCGCAUCUGUAGGUUACGGCAUGGACCUCAAAAUUGACCGCUGAUAUCAGGCACAGAAGACAUGAUGUACUUGCCUAUCAAGAAAAACAUGACCACAAAACAGAUGCAAAACUCCAAGAUCCAAGGGCAAGACAAUGGGUUGGAGCGUCUUAUGUCAGCGUUAAAUCUUGUGCAUGCAUGAAAAGACGUCAAAUAGUGAAUGAUAAGAAGUGCUACCGUCGCCUACGUACGCUCACACGGCUAGGGAGUCUCACGAGUAUCUGAUCAUCCACAAACCAGGGAUGUCCUUACUGUGGGGACUAGCAUCUGUAACGAGCUACCACAGAAUUUUGUCAUUUUUAAAUAAAUAAAUAAAAAAUG